rnacentral:tRNA from 1 species
GGGCAGAUGGCCGAGUGGUCUAAGGCGCUAGUUUUAGGCACUAGUCUUCGGGCGUGGGUUCAAAUCCCACUCUGCCCA